GUGUUCACCUAUCAGCCUACACAUGCAGUCGUAGACGAGCGAUGACGCAGAGCUUGCUCCCGGAUGUUAGCGGCGGACUGUGUCAAAUAACACGUGGGUAACCUGCCUGUAAGACUGGGAUAACUCCGGGAAACCGGAGCUAAUACCGGAUAGUUCCUUGAACCGCAUGGUUCAAGGAUGAAAGACGGUUUCGGCUGUCACUUACAGAUGGACCCGCGGCGCAUUAGCUAGUUGGUGGGGUAAUGGCUCACCAAGGCGACGAUGCGUAGCCGACCUGAGAGGGUGAUCGGCCACACUGGGACUGAGACACGGCCCAGACUCCUACGGGAGGCAGCAGUAGGGAAUCUUCCGCAAUGGACGAAAGUCUGACGGAGCAACGCCGCGUGAGUGAUGAAGGUUUUCGGAUCGUAAAGCUCUGUUGUUAGGGAAGAACAAGUGCGAGAGUAACUGCUCGCACCUUGACGGUACCUAACCAGAAAGCCACGGCUAACUACGUGCCAGCAGCCGCGGUAAUACGUAGGUGGCAAGCGUUGUCCGGAAUUAUUGGGCGUAAAGGGCUCGCAGGCGGUUUCUUAAGUCUGAUGUGAAAGCCCCCGGCUCAACCGGGGAGGGUCAUUGGAAACUGGGAAACUUGAGUGCAGAAGAGGAGAGUGGAAUUCCACGUGUAGCGGUGAAAUGCGUAGAGAUGUGGAGGAACACCAGUGGCGAAGGCGACUCUCUGGUCUGUAACUGACGCUGAGGAGCGAAAGCGUGGGGAGCGAACAGGAUUAGAUACCCUGGUAGUCCACGCCGUAAACGAUGAGUGCUAAGUGUUAGGGGGUUUCCGCCCCUUAGUGCUGCAGCUAACGCAUUAAGCACUCCGCCUGGGGAGUACGGUCGCAAGACUGAAACUCAAAGGAAUUGACGGGGGCCCGCACAAGCGGUGGAGCAUGUGGUUUAAUUCGAAGCAACGCGAAGAACCUUACCAGGUCUUGACAUCCUCUGACAACCCUAGAGAUAGGGCUUUCCCUUCGGGGACAGAGUGACAGGUGGUGCAUGGUUGUCGUCAGCUCGUGUCCUGAAAAUGUU
rnacentral:rRNA from 1 species